rnacentral:rRNA from 1 species
GUGGGGAAUAUUGGACAAUGGGCGAAAGCCUGAUCCAGCCAUGCCGCGUGUGUGAAGAAGGUCUUCGGAUUGUAAAGCACUUUAAGUUGGGAGGAAGGGCAGUAAGUUAAUACCUUGCUGUUUUGACGUUACCGACAGAAUAAGCACCGGCUAACUUCGUGCCAGCAGCCGCGGUAAUACGAAGGGUGCAAGCGUUAAUCGGAAUUACUGGGCGUAACGCGCGCGUAGGUGGUUUUGUAAGUUGGAGGUGAAAUCCCCGGGCUCAACCUGGGAACUGCCUCCAAAACUGCAUGACUAGAGUACGGUAGAGGGUAGUGGAAUUUCCUGUGUAGCGGUGAAAUGCGUAGAUAUAGGAAGGAACACCAGUGGCGAAGGCGACUACCUGGACUGAUACUGACACUGAGGUGCGAAAGCGUGGGGAGCAAACAGGAUUAGAUACCCCGGUAGUCC